rnacentral:rRNA from 1 species
AACGAACGCUGGCGGCAGGCCUAACACAUGCAAGUCGAGCGAGGACUUCGGUCCUAGCGGCGGACGGGGGAGGAACGCGUGGGAACGUGCCCUUUGCUUCGGAAUAGCCCUGGGAAACUGGGAGUAAUACCGGAUGAGCCCUUUGGGGGAAAGAUUUAUCGGCGAAGGAUCGGCCCGCGUUGGAUUAGGUAGUUGGGGGGGUAAUGGCCUACCAAGCCGACGAUCCAUAGCUGGUUUGAGAGGAUGGUCAGCCACACUGGGACUGAGACCCGGCACAGACUCCUACGGGAGGCAGCAGUGGGGAAUCUUAGACAACGGGGGCAACCCUGAUCUAGCCCUGCCGCGUGAGCGAUGAAGGCCUUAGGGUUGUAAAGCUCUUUCAGCUGGGAAGAUAAUGACGGUACCAGCAGAAGAAGCCCCGGCUAACUCCGUG